rnacentral:misc_RNA from 1 species
GGUCGCCGAUGCAUGCACGCAAGACCCUAGUCCUGAUAAGGAUAGCGUUAGGGGCUUGUAGCUCAGUUGGUUGAGCGCGCGCUUGAUAAGCGUGAGGUCGGAAGUUCAAGUCUUCCCAGGCCCACCACUUUCAUCGAGUGAGCAUUCGUCUUCUGGUUACGGGGCCAUAGCUCAGCUGGGAGAGCGCGUGCUUUGCAAGCAUGAGGUCGUCGGUUCGAUCCCGUCUGGCUCCACCAGAUGGUUUGAUCACCGAGAUCAUGUACCGUCGUCCGCGAAACAUCACUUCGCAUUCACUAGUCUGGAUAGACAGUGAACUGCGUGUUUUCUGACAUCGUAAAGAGGAGAUCGAUCCGAGUUGGGUCGUGCAGCAUAUCGUUGCGCGGGCCUUCAUUAUCUCCGGAUCAUUUCGGCGCUCGCUUUCAGCCGUGAGGUUGAAUGCGGGUUGUAAAUGAUCCUUUUAGCGAAGCUUGACCGCCUCGCUAUCGGAACGAUCUUACGAAGCAAGCUGGUCUUUCUAGUCGAUGUCCGGCUGUACGUGNCANUCAUCGAGGGUGCGUGCCGCAAGGCAAUCGUACGGACAACAUUCUGCCGAGUGUGUGGACAUUGAUAAUGAGAGCAAUCAAGNGCCUUAAGGGUGUUCGGUGGAUGCCUUGGCGCUGAGAGGCGAUGAAGGACGUGCUACGCUGCGAUAAGCCGUGGGGAGCUGCGAAGAA